rnacentral:rRNA from 1 species
CCUACGGGUGGCAGCAGUGAGGAAUAUUGGUCAAUGGACGGAAGCCUGAACCAGCCAUGCCGCGUGCAGGAAGACGGCUCUAUGAGUUGUAAACUGCUUUUGUACAAGGGUAAACCUGAAUACGUGUAUUCAGCUGAAAGUACUGUACGAAUAAGGAUCGGCUAACUCCGUGCCAGCAGCCGCGGUAAUACGGAGGAUCCAAGCGUUAUCCGGAUUUAUUGGGUUUAAAGGGUGCGUAGGCGGAUUGAUAAGUUAGAGGUGAAAUGUCCGAGCUUAACUCGGGAACUGCCUCUAAUACUGUUGAUCUAGAGAGUAGAUGCGGUAGGCGGAAUGUAUGGUGUAGCGGUGAAAUGCUUAGAGAUCAUACAGAACAACGAUUGCGAAGGCAGCUUACCAAUCUAUAUCUGACGUUGAGGCACGAAAGCGUGGGGAGCAAACAGGAUUAGAUACCCCGGUAGUC